UACAGAGGGUGCGAGCGUUAAUCGGAAUUACUGGGCGUAAAGCGCACGUAGGUGGCGACGUAAGUCGGGUGUGAAAGCCCCGGGCUCAACCUGGGAAUUGCAUUCGAGACUGCAUUGCUGGAGUACGGAAGAGGAAGGCGGAAUUCCCGGUGUAGCGGUGAAAUGCGUAGAUAUCAGGAGGAACACCGAUGGCGAAGGCAGAUCUCUGGGCCGUAACUGACGCUGAGGAGCGAAAGCGUGGGGAGCGAACAGG
rnacentral:rRNA from 1 species